UGCAAGUCGAACGCCCCGCAAGGGGAGUGGCAGACGGGUGAGUAACGCGUGGGAACAUACCCUUUCCUGCGGAAUAGCUCCGGGAAACUGGAAUUAAUACCGCAUAUCGCCCUACGGGGGAAAGAUUUAUCGGGGAAGGAUUGGCCCGCGUUGGAUUAGCUAGUUGGUGGGGUAAAGGCCUCACCAAGGCGACGAUCCAUAGCUGGUCUGAGAGGAUGAUCAGCCACAUUGGGACUGAGACACGGCCCAAACUCCUACGGGAGGCAGCAGUGGGGAAUAUUGCACAAUGGGCGCAAGCCUGAUCCAGCCAUGCCGCGUGAGUGAUGAAGGCCUUAGGGUUGUAAAGCUCUUUCACCAGGGAAGAAGCCAUAAGUGACGGUAUCCGGCAGAAGAAGCCCCGGCUAACUUCGUGCCAGCAGCCGCGGUAAUACGAAGGGGGCUAGCGUUGUCCGGAAUUACUGGGCGUAAAGAGCACGUAGGCGGAUAUUGUAACGUCAGGGGUGAAAUCCCAGGGCUCAACCCCGGAACUGCAGUGGAUACUGGGCAGACUAGAGUAUGGAAGAGGUAGACUGGAAUUCCUGAGUGUAGAGGUGAAAUGCGCAGAUAUUCAGGAGGAACACCAGAUGGCGAAGGCAGGCUCUACUGGGCCAUUACUGACGCUGAGGAGCGAAAGCAUGGGGAGCAAACAGGAUUAGAUACCCUGGUAGUCCAUGCCGUAAACGAUGAACAUUAGCCGUGGGGGACAGUACACUGUUCGCCGCGCCGUAGCUAACGCAUUAAACACCCCGCCUGGGGAGUACGGCCGCAAGGCUAAAACUCAAAGGAAUUGACGGGGGCCCGCACAAGCGGCGGAGCAUGCGGAUUAAUUCGAAGCAACGCGAAGAACCUUACCAAGCUCUUGACAUUCACCGGUACCGGCACUGGAGACGAGUGUCCUUCCCUUAGGCUGGCCCCUGGACAGGUGCUGCAUGGCUGUCGUCAGCUCGUGUCGUGAGAUGUUGGGUUAAGUCCCGCAACGAGCGCAACCCUCGCCCUUAUGUUGCCAGCACGUGAUGGUGGGGACUCUAUAGGAGACUGCCGGGGAUCAACUCGGAGGAAGGUGGGGAUGACGUCAAAUCAUCAUGCCCCUUAUGGUCUUGGGCUUCACGCAUGCUACAAUGGCCGGUGACAAAGGGUUGCGAUACUGUGAGGUGGAGCUAAUCCCAAAAAGCCGGUCUCAGUUCGGAUUGAGGUCUGCAACUCGACCUCAUGAAGUCGGAGUCGCUAGUAAUCGCAGAUCAGCAACGCUGCGGUGAAUACGUUCCCGGGCCUUGUACACACCGCCCGUCAAGUCACGAAAGUUGGUUACACCCGAAGCCGGUGCGCUACCCGCA
rnacentral:rRNA from 1 species